UUAACCCAAAUUUGUAUGCAGUUGCAACGUUUGCCUACGUUUGCCGCUAGGGGCGCUGUUAGAAUACAUACUAAUUUAAGUUA
rnacentral:pre_miRNA from 1 species